ACCGUGCACAGAGCAAUGUUCUGUUCCCAGGAGGCAGGGUUUCGGGACCAUAUAAAGGUUCCUUCAUCCCAAGGCUCCUUCAGUCCCAUGGUCACGGACCUGUUUGCUUUCACUGGGUGUCUCUGCACUGCAGGAAGAUGUCUUCCCGGCAAAAUCAGCAGCAAUGCAAACAAGUACCCACCCUGCCUCCUGCUCUGAGCAAAGCCAUUCCUGACCCAGUCCCAGUCCUGGACCCAGAGGUACCUGAGCCAGUCCCAGCAGGACCAGAACCAUGUCCAGCCCCAGUCAAGGAACCAGAAAAUGCACCCCGGAGACGCCAAGAAGAGGAGCACUGUAAGCAGCCAUUGGGUCAGCCUCUUACUCUGGCUCCCAAACUGGAACCAGAACCAGAAUCCAAACUGGGAGGAUUCCUAGUACCAGAGGAACCAGAAGAUUCAGUUCCUGUACAACUACCUCCACUGGUGGAGCAGCAGCAGCAGCCAAGUCUGUAGCUACCAAAGCAGAAAUGCUCUCCAUUGUCAUUAGGGAAACCAUGCUAUGAAAGUCACCCCAUACCAAAGCUAACUUUACAUCCUCCUGGUUGUAGGGCUAUGAUGUCUGCUCUAAAGUUUUCACAGUUUCUUUCUCUAUGUUAGUGCUAUUCAAUAUAUGCUACUGCAAUCAUUAAAUUAAUGCAUUGUGUGGGACUAGAUGGAAUCGCACCAGAUGUGGAUCUAUGUCCAGAGGGCUCAUACCUGUUGCAUUUCUGUAGGGCAGUGGUUUUGACCUGUGAUCCACGGACCCCAGGGGUCUGCAGACUGUCUAAGGGCUCCAUGAAAGAUGACUAUGAUCAAUAAAAAGUAGGUGAAUACCCACACUUAAAAGGGGUCUGCACCUCCAUUCAAAGUUUCCAAAGGGGUCCACUAAUAAAAAAAGGAUGAAAACCAUUGCUUUAGGGCAGAGGUUCCCAAUCACAGGACUGCAACCUGGCACCGGGUCAUGAAGGGUUGGCUGCCGGGUCACCAUCAGUCAUGUGCAGGGUUAAAACUGGGUAGCAGGGUAGCCCCUGGAGGGAGGUAACUAGCUCCAUGAGACCCAUCUUGCUUCUGCCACCAUGGCUAUGCCUGGUGAGGUACUGCCCACGCACCAGCCAGGCCAGGCAGGACUCCCCCCCAGCCCUGCCUGCUGCUGGGAGCAGGGGAAUGCAGGAGGGGAAAUGCCUGGGGAAGAGAGCUAGGAGGCGGCUCUGCUGCUUGCUCCUAGGGAAGGCAGUGGAGCACCUUCUUCCUGGACAGCCCCAGCUGGCUCCCCCCGGGCCACUGCCUGUGCAGCCCGCUCCUCGGCAGGGUCCCCCGGUGCCCACAGCUGUGGUGCCCCAACCCAAUCUGAUCCUUGCAACCACCCCAACAUAAAAAUUAAAUUUAAAUAUGUAAAUUAAAUUUAAAUAUGUUUGCCAGUCCUCAGUAUAAAAAAGGUUGGGAACCACUGCUGUAGGGGAUGGUUAGCUGUAGGGGCUACAAAACUCUGAGCCUAUGCUUUACCCCAUCAGCUGUCCCUUGCUUUGGAGGCCCUCUGGUGAGGAUGGCUAAGAAAGGGCCCCCACUGCUGGUAGAUUAAAGCUAUAGAAGAGGCCCACACUCUGUGCCUUGAUUAAUUGGAAAGUGAUGAGGAUUAAUUAGUUAAUGCAGGUAAAGCCAUUUGGAGAUGGGGAAAGGACAGAAAUGUGGGAGUGUUUCAUGGAUAAUGGCACUGCCUUUUCCCCUUUGGUGCAAUUUAAUUGCUGGGAUGCAACUAGACAAACAAUGGACACCGGUGAAUAGCUACAGUUAUGUCAUUCAGUGGCAGAUCCACACUCUCAUUGUACGCUACUAAUUGCAUGUGUAAUGCAAUAAAACCAGCUAUCUCCUUGUU